rnacentral:lncRNA from 1 species
AUGAAGUGUGGUUUAUUAAAUAUCAGAUCUCUCUCAUCUAAAUCCUUUUUAAUAAAUGACUUGAUAAGUGACCAUCACAUAGAUCUGUUCUGUCUCACUGAAACCUGGCUGCAGCAGGAUGAAUAUGUUACUUUAAAUGAGUCGACUCCAAUGAGUCACAUCAACUAUCAUGUUCCAAGAAGUACAGGUAGAGGUGGAGGAGUAGCAGCAGUUUAUAAAUCAGAUUUAUUAAUUACUCCUAAACCUAAACAUAGUUAUAACUCAUUUGAGAGCCUCACUCUGAGCCUUUCUCACCCAGACUCUAAAACUCAGAAACCAGUUGUGUUUUGUAUUGUUUACCGUCCUCCUGCUCCAUAUUCAGAGUUCUUAACUGAAUUCUCUGAAUUCUUAUCUGACUUAGUUCUUAGCACAGAUAAAGUCAUUGUAGUGGGAGACUUUAACAUUCAUGUAGAUGUUGACAGCAACUGUCUCAGCACUGCUUUUAACUCCUUAAUAGACACUAUUGGUUUUACACAGCAGGUAAAUGAACCCACUCAUCGUUUUAACCACACUCUAGAUCUUGUCCUGACAUAUGGAGUUGAAAUUGAUAAUUUAAUAGUUCUUCCCCAAAACCCUCUGUUAUCUGACCAUUUCUUAUUAACUUUUGAAUUUAGCACAACUGACCCUAUAACAGCUGGAAAGAAAUGUUACUAUAGCAGGUGUUUAUCUGACAAUGCUGUUGCCAGAUUCAAGCAGAUGAUUCCAUCAUCUUUUGCCUCAAUGUCUUGCAGAUACACAGAGAACAGUCACCUUAAUCCUUAUGAACAGGUUGACUGUCUUGUAGAUGAUGCUGCAGCUUCUCUACGUACAAUGUUAGACACAGUGGCUCCUCUGAAGAAGAAGACAGUGAAUCAGAGGAGGUUAGCUCCGUGGUAUAACUCAGACAUCCGCAGUCUAAAGCAAAGGACUAGACAACUAGAAAGACAGUGGCGUUCCAACAAAAUAAAUGUAAACUGCAUUGCAUGGAAGGACAGUCUAAUGAAAUAUAAAAAAGCACUUUGUGCUGCUAGAAAAACAUAUUAUUCCUCCCUAAUUGAGGAAAACAAAAACAACCCCAGGUUUUUUUUUCAGCACUGUAGCCAGGCUGACAAAGAGUCAUAG